CGGUGGAUUGUGUCAUAAAGAAUGGAUAAGAAUGGAGAAUGGGCAAUUUGUCACAGAGCAUCACAGCUGCCCACUAAGUGGUCUUGAUUUUCCAGGGCGAGUGCAUUUGAAAGAGGGUAUAUGACUGCAUUAUUGCAUUUAUGUGCUGCAGGACUCCUGUGGAUACAUAUUAUUUAUGCCUGUAUGCAGCAUUUCCAUACCUUACCAGUCCUGUUCAGUUUAGAAGGACCAUCUGAAUGAAUGCUGUUAUCCAGGAAGUGAUCCAAAAAAAAAGGAGGUGCUCCAAACACUCCUGAACUUUCUGAAUCUGAGACUGAAUGUUUCCUGAGGCCAGGCCAAAAAAACAAAGAGAAGGAAAACAAGAAUGUGUUCCUGGAGGCCAAGGGUCUUUCAAUGAAGUUUUCCAGUUUCUAGCUGGCAG